UACGUAGGGGGCAAGCGUUGUCCGGAAUUAUUGGGCGUAAAGAGCGUGUAGGCGGUCCGGUAAGUCAGCUGUGAAAGUCAGGGGCUCAACCCUUGGAAGCCGGCCGAUACUGUCGGACUAGAGUCCGGAAGAGGCGAGUGGAAUUCCCGGUGUAGCGGUGAAAUGCGCAGAUAUCGGGAGGAACACCAAUGGCGAAGGCAGCUCGCUGGGACGGUACUGACGCUGAGGCGCGAAAGCGUGGGGAGCAAACAGG
rnacentral:rRNA from 1 species